rnacentral:misc_RNA from 1 species
GAGCCGAGCGCCGCGCACGCGCACACAGUGAUGCGCCGACAUGGCGGACGCCGAGCGAGCCGACACGUACGACGCGCGCGCCACCACCGCCACCGUCUCCAGCCUCAAGUCCGAGGACUCCACUGAACAGUUGAUAUGUAAAACCCCUCAGAAGAAAGUUAACAAAGUGAAAAAAGACAAGAGUGUAAGUUCUAAGAGUGUCGAAGCGGGCAGUGAUGAGCCGACUCGCAGGCGCCUCGUGGUGUUCCUGGGGCUGGCGCAGGUGGUGCUGGGCGCGCUGCUGGUGGGCGCGGGCGCGCUGGCCGUGGUGAAGGGCGCGGCGCUCUCGCGCGUGGGCGCCGGGCUGUGGGCGGGCUGCGUGGCCGUGGUGGCCGGCGUGGUGGGCGUGCUGGCCGGCAUCAACGACUGCUACGGCCUCAACGCCGGAGCCAAUGGGAGUCCCCUACUGACAGCAUUCCUGGCGCUGUCGCUGCUGUGCCUCGCGUGCGGCAACAGCGCCGCCGUGCUCGCCGCCACCGGCUUGCAGCGCGACUCGCUGCGCCAGCCUACAGCGCACGCUAGCUUCGAGGAUGAAAUGGAAGCGUGGACGCCAGUCCUCACAAACAUCGCCCUCCUCAUCAUCGCGAGCGUGCACUGCGUGGUGUGCAUCAUCAGCAUCGCGCACGUGGCCAAGCGCGUGUGUCCGUGCCUGCGCCCCAAGCAGCCCUUCGACCACAACCAGUUCGAGCCGGGCGCUCCGCCCCACCAGCUCGUCAUCAAGGUGGACGAUGUAGCGUAUGCUCAGGAUGCGGAGAGAGCAAGGCAUCACGAGCUCUGCAAGGAGUUAGAGGUUAAACUGCAGGGGGAUACUAUGAAGAAGAAGAAGGAGGAGCCAGAAUUCGGCAGCGCAAACAGCAAGGAGAAGCUGGUGUCUCGCUGGCUGGGGCGGCAACAGACACCGGCGGGACCCACGGGACCCGCUGUGGCGGCGGGGGCCCCGGCGGUGCUGGUGGGCCCGCCACCCGCCGCGCGCCGCCGCGGCGUGCGCAAGCCGAGGAAGCCGCCGCCGCUCGUGCUGCUCCCCGCGCACCCCGCUAGCACGCUGGGCCGCGUCCCCGCUGCCUGCGUGGUGAUGCCGCCGCGGUACGCGACGCUGCCACUGCCGCCUGCGACGUAUGCGCCCGGCCCUCUCUACUACCCCGUGCAUGACGCUCGCGUGCGCCGUCGUCGAUCGCCGCGCGCGACCACGGAGCGGCGUCGUCGCGAGGGGCGCGAGCGUGAGUCGCAGCUGGCGCGCUCGCUGGAGAGGAUCCACCGCAAGCGCCGUGCGGACCGAGAACACCUCACCGAUGCUGACCUCAAGAGGACGUAUACGGGUCUUGACAGAGCAUACGCGGAGCAGUUCAUAGCAGUAUGCGACUCGAGCCGGCACGCGGCGGAGCAGCACGACUCGCUGGCCAGCACGUCGGCCACCAGCGACUCCAGCCACUCGCAGCCGGAGCUCGCCUAGCACAGCUUACAUACGUUUUACUUGUAAAAUGUAUGACAACUAACAUUCAGCCCACAGCGAUUACAGGCUAAGGGCUUGCGUGCCAACUUGCUAAGCAUGUUUAGCCGUCUCAUCUAUUUAAAAUUGUCAAAACUAUCUUGUAGCCUUUAAAUGUGUUUAGCGAGUGGUCGCGCAAGUGAGCCUUAAUCUACAUGAUAUUGACAGGUUUUAUAAAUAAAAUAGCGUCAAAUAACGAUCAUGUACGUAACAAACGAAUGUUUAGUAUUUAGUCAGUAAGAUGUUAAAAUACUCUUCGUUGUAAGUCAACUAACUGUCUAAGCAUAUCAUACCAAACUUAACAAUAUAGCUUUAUAAGGUCGCAAUACGUUAUCGUAAAUUGUAAAUAUUUCCACUAACUUAAUGUUAACAUUCAUUAACUGCACGAAUCAUAAUUGGAACAUUUAUCAUAAUUGACAUAUUCUGCUCAUUGGAUCGGUUAUCGUCAGGUUCCGAUAGAUGUGUCUAUUUAUAUCACAGCGUUAUUAUUUUAAUUGCAACAUUGUUGGUAUUCGAUUGUACUAUUUGGCCUAUAAUUUCAUAUUUGAGAAGUCGCAAUUUACCUUUAACCGCUAAACCCGUCCAUAAAAAUUAAGUUUUCAAUCCACUUUAUGUGGACGAUAUUAUUUCUGGUCUUUCUUUAAUUCGCUUGUCAGAGAUUCCAAUCAUUUCAUUCAUUUAAAUCAUUAAAGUUUUGCAGUUCAUUCAUCAUUUUGAAUUAGGGAUACGGCAACAAAUGGGCCAGUCUUCAUAGACAUAUUAAAUUUAGUUAUUGUACACUUUACUAUAAUACGUAACACUUACUAACUUAUGACAAUUUGUAAACUUGUACGUAUCGUCAAAUAUCUGUGUUAUAUACUAAUUUAAGUCUUAUUUAUCUAGUUUUACAGUCUUUAUUUGUGAAGUUAUUUCCUAUAACAACUUUAAUGAAAAUUGGUAAUUGUCUUAAAUAAAAUGCGAUUAAAUUCAUUACUUUUCAGAACUCUUGUCAAUUGUGAAUUAAAGUUAUCAUAAAAAAUACUUCACAUAACUUUAUAUAAAAAUUAUUAUAAUUUAGUUCAUAUUCCUAGAUUAUAAUGUCAAGUACACGUGUGUAUAAAUAAAAGGAAAGUCAUAUGUACCUAAGCGGUGCCAAAUUGCGAACCUAUUGGUGUAAAUAUUUGCUUCUAAAUUGUUGCUCAAUUUGUUCUUAUACAAUUGUUGAAAUUAUUUAUUAGGAUUAUUAAUGUUUUCUCAUUUCGCUUAGCUACUUAUUUAAAAUGCAGUUUUGUAUCUUAUUAGAACCUUACGUAUUUUAGCGCAAU